rnacentral:sRNA from 1 species
AUUGUAAAUAAACUUGUGAGGGAGAGUUUAAGGAGUUGACAAUUUUGCUACA